rnacentral:rRNA from 1 species
CCCUUAGAUGUUCUGGGCCGCACACGCGCUACACUGAAGGAGGCAGCGUGUACUCCUGGAUCGAAAGAUUUGGGUAACCCGCGAAUCUCCUUCGUGCUAGGGAUUGAGGUUUGCAAUUAUCCUUCAUGAACGAGGAAUUCCCAGUAAGUGCAAGUCAUAAGCUUGCGCUGACUACGUCCCUGCCCUUUGUACACACCGCCCGUCGCUACCACCGAUUGAAUGAUUUAGUGAGGACUUCGGACUGGGACCGAUGCGGCUUUCGGGCUGCGUCGGUAUUCUGGAAAGAUGUCCAAACUGUAUCAUUUAGAGGAAGUAAAAGUCGUAACA